GCGCAAAGGGAAGAGGGGUUCUGCAAGGGGUGUGCAAAGGAAAGCAGAAGGGUCCGUGCAGAGGGGGCACAAGGAGGAACAGGUUGUGCCGGGGGGGGUUGGGGGUACCCCCUACCUGUUGUCCCCCCCCGCAGCCCGGGCAGGGCCGCGACGGAGGCGAUCGCGUCUCUGCCGAGGGCAUCCGCGGUGGGUGCGCGGCUGCGGCGGGGCGGGUCCCUCCCGAGCGGGUCCCUCCCGAGCGGGUCCCUCCCGAGCGGGUCCCUCCCGAGCGGGUCCCUCCCGAGCGGGUCCCUCCCGAGCGGACCGGGGACCCUGCGGUGCCCGCCCCGCGCUGGCAGCGAGACCCUCCCGCAGCCCCCCGGGAAGUUCGGGGGUGCCGCGGGGAUGCUGCAGUGCCCGCGGCGAGCUGGAAAUGCCGCUAAGGAAGAACUGUUCUGCUAAACCGCGCUCAGGUUCACCCCGAGCGGAGCCGUGGCCAGCAGCUGCCUGCAGCAGGUGGAGGAAAAUGGGCUCCAAAAAUCCCCCCGGAAGGAUUUUGGGGCGGGGGGCAAGAGCCACCUGAGCGCUGUCACCACUGCAGCAGCACCGGUGCGAGAGCUCUUACGCCGGCGGCUCGCGUGGCACAAACCCAGGGUGAAAAAUCGAGAAUUAUUGGUGUCAUCCACUCGCUGGCGACUGCUAGAGGGAGCGCGGAUGUUUCCCUGUGCCUUAUCCAUCCCUCAGAGGGAUCCACUUGUGUGUUUGCCAGGGCUGCAGCAAGCCUGCAGAGCUGCCACCCUGCCCGUGGCAGCCGUGCAGAUGGCUUCAUCCUCACUGAAGUGAAAUCAUGGAAUACAGAGUGAUUUGUGGUGGAAAGCACCUUAAAGAUCUUCUCAUUCCAACCCCCUGCCGUGGGCAGGGACACCCACUACACCAGGUUGCUCCAAGCCCCAUGGACAGGGAUGCUUUGGAGCCCGUAGCCCUCGUGGCUGUUCCUCCCUAAUCCCUCCCUGCAUCCCAAAUCUGCAGGGGGCCGUGCUGGGAGCUGUCACCUGAGCCACCCGUACCUGGAAAAGUUCACAAAUGGGUUUAGGAAGUGGGCAGGAGCCCCCAGGGCAGUGGGGUGGGAGCCUCACAGAAACAGGAGUGGGUGUGGAAAGAAGGGUGAGGAGACAGGAUGGUGAGCAAAGGCUCUUGCUAGGGGAGAAGUCAGAGAAAAUCAUGAGGUGCAAGGAAAGGGGGAGAAACAGCCCUGCACAAAUUGCUAAACACUCUGAUAUUUGCCUAAAUUCGGGCUUUUGGCUGAACAAGCUGAGAAUUUGGGGCAGUUCUUUGAACUCCAGGGUGUCCUUUGUGCAGCAGCACUGGCACUGCAGAGCCCUGAUUCAAAAUGCAGUAAAAAGGACAGAAAUGGGCUCCUGUUCUCCAGAGCUGCAGGGAUGGCUCCAGGAGAGGCUUGACAUGAGCAAAGCAGGAGCACCUCCCCAUCCCACACAUCCAGAGACUGCAGGGGCAGAGGUUUGGUGUGCAGAGUCCCCAGGCAGCUUUUGGGGCCAGAAAUGGGGUAAAUCUGCUGAAAAACACCAACAAGAGCAGCCUGGAUCCCCCAAAACCUCAGGUCUGGUCUGGAUCCUGGGUACAGCCAGCUCUCCAAGAGGAUUGAGUCCUUGUCAAGUGGCAUCUAGUCCUCACAUCCACGUGGAUAAAUCCAUCUGGAUAUUGUAAACCAGAGGAAAUUUAGCAUUUAUUCAAUGAAAUAUAGCACAGUGGCUUUUGCAAGGGGCAAUUAUUUCUGACAGAGUUUCCAGCAGUGUCUGCAACCAGCCUGGGUGCUGGGCCAGGGCACUUGGAAUAUCAGUGGAAAAGUCUGUUUUCCUUAAUGAAUGCCCAGAGGGCCAACAAAAACCCCGAAAGGAGAAUAAGUGCAAUUUUUGAAAUUCUUUCUCCAUCAUCUCUGCAGUCAUCCCUGAAUGAGAUAAAGUUCUCUUUUAUCAGGAAGCUGACAGCUCUGCAGGGAGUCUGUGUCCCAGAGGGGUGGGAGUCCCUGGCCAUGCAGAUGAGGCAUAAAGAGAUUGGGAAUAUUUCCUAAAGACACAAGGGAAACCUGAGUCGAUGCCAGGACAAUUCCCAGCUGCAGGAGCUGUUUGUUGUGCCCUGGCACGCUGUAGGACCAGCUUCCAGUUGGUCCAUUCCAAAUAUCACCAGAGGAAUCUGCAUGGACAUUUAUCAC